rnacentral:rRNA from 1 species
CCUACGGGUGGCAGCAGUGGGGAAUAUUGGGCAAUGGAGUAAACUCUGACCCAGCAACGCCGCGUGAAUGAUGAAGGUCUUCUGAUUGUAAAGCUCUUUUUUAAGGGAAGAAGAAAGUGACGGUACUUUAGGAAUAAGCCUCGGCUAACUACGUGCCAGCAGCCGCGGUAAUACGUAGGAGGCGAGCGUUAUCCGGAUUGACUGGGCGUUAAGGGUGCGUAGGUGGUUUGGUAAGUCAGUAGCGUAACUCCAAGGCUCAACGUUGGAACUACUACUAAUACUGGUGGACUUGAGUACAGGUGAGGCAGGCGGAAUUCGUGGUGUAGCGGUGAAAUGCGUAGAUAUUAGGAGGAACACCAGUGGCGAAGGCGGGUUGCUAGACUGUAACUGACACUGAGGCACGAAAGCGUGGGGAGCAAACAGGAUUAGAUACCCGGGUAGUC